AUGCAGCAUUACUGUAAGUCGCUUUGGAUAAAAGCAUCUUCUAAAUAUCAUAUU
rfam:Salmo salar isolate Sally breed double haploid chromosome ssa25, whole genome shotgun sequence.